rnacentral:rRNA from 1 species
GACAGAGGAUGCAAGCGUUAUCCGGAAUGAUUGGGCGUAAAGAGCGUGUAGGCGGCCCGGUAAGUCCGCUGUAAAAGUCAAAGGCUUAACCUUUGAAUGUCAGUGGAUACUGCCGGGCUAGAGUCCGGAAGAGGCGAGUGGAACUCCUGGUGUAGCGGUGAAAUGCGUAGAUAUCAGGAGGAACACCGGCGGUGUAGACGGCUUUCUGGACCGUAGCUGACGCUGAGACACGAAAGCGUGGGUAGCAAACAGG